rnacentral:rRNA from 1 species
UACGGAGGGUGCAAGCGUUAUCCGGAUUCACUGGGUUUAAAGGGUGUGUAGGCGGAUAUUUAAGUCAGAGGUGAAAUCUCCAGGCUCAACCUGGAAACUGCCUUUGAUACUAUUUAUCUUGAAUUUUGUUGAGGUAGGCGGAAUAUAUCAUGUAGCGGUGAAAUGCAUAGAUAUGAUAUAGAACACCGAUUGCGAAGGCAGCUUACUAAGCAAACAUUGACGCUGAGGCACGAAAGCGUGGGGAUCAAACAGG